UACGUAGGGAGCAAGCGUUGUCCGGAAUCAUUGGGCGUAAAGCGCGCGUAGGUGGCUUCGUAAGUCCGUUGUGAAAGUCAAAGGCUCAACCUUUGGAUGCCGAUGGAUACUGCGGAGCUAGAGUACGGAAGAGGCGAGUGGAAUUCCUGGUGUAGCGGUGGAAUGCGCAGAUAUCAGGAGGAACACCAAUAGCGAAGGCAGCUCGCUGGGACGUACUGACACUGAGGAGCGAAAGCCAGGGGAGCAAACAGG
rnacentral:rRNA from 1 species